CUGUAGAGUGGGGUCAGUAUGGGUGGGGGUCCGUGUAGAGUAGUGGUCAGUAUGGGUCUUGUAAAGUAGGUCAGUAUGGGUAGGGGUUCCUUGUAGAGGUAGUGGUCAGUAUGGGUCCUUGUAAGAGUAGGGGUCAGUAUGGGUAGGGGUCCUUGUAGAGUAGUGGUCAGUAUGGGUCCGUGUAGAGUAGGGUCAGAUGGGUAGGGUCCUUGUAGAGUAGUGGUCAGUAUGGGUAGGGUCCUUGUAGAGUAGUGGUCAGUAUGGGUAGGGAUCCUUAGAGUAGUGGUCAGUAUGGUGGGGGUCACUUGUAGAGUAAGUGGUCAGUAUGGGUGGGGUCCUUGUAAGUAGUGGUCAGUAUGGGUAGGAAUCCUUGUAGAGUAGUGGUCAGUAUGGGUAGGGAUCCUUGUAGAGUAGUGGUCAGUAUGGGUAGGAUCUUGUAGGUUAGGUGGUCAGUAUGGGUGGGUGGUCCUGGUAGUGAAGUGUGGUCAGUAUGGGUAGGGAA
rnacentral:lncRNA from 1 species